GAUCAGGUGACCGGGUGGUCAAGGUGAUGGACUACUAAUCCAUUGGGGUUUCCCCGCCCGAGAUCGAAUCUCAUCCUGAUGG
rnacentral:tRNA from 1 species